CUACGGGGCGCUGCAGUGAGGAAUAUUGCACAAUGGAGGAAACUCUGAUGCAGCAACGCCGCGUGGAGGAUGACGCAUUUCGGUGUGUAAACUCCUUUUAUAUGUCAAGAAAAUGACGGUAGCAUAUGAAUAAGCACCGGCUAACUCCGUGCCAGCAGCCGCGGUAAUACGGAGGGUGCAAGCGUUACUCGGAAUCACUGGGCGUAAAGGACGCGUAGGCGGGAUAUCAAGUCAGGUGUGAAAUCCUACAGCUUAACUGUAGAACUGCACUUGAAACUGGUAACCUAGAGUAUGGGAGGGGGAGAUGGAAUUAGUGGUGUAGGGGUAAAAUCCGUAGAUAUCACUAGGAAUACCUAAAGCGAAGGCGAUCUCCUGGAACAUUACUGACGCUAAGGCGUGAAAGCGUGGGGAGCAAACAGGAUUAGAUACCCGGGUAGUC
rnacentral:rRNA from 1 species